rnacentral:rRNA from 1 species
GCAGCAGUAGGGAAUCUUCCGCAAUGGACGAAAGUCUGACGGAGCAACGCCGCGUGAACGAUGAAGGCUUUCGGGUCGUAAAGUUCUGUUGUCAGGGAAGAACAAGUACCGGAGUAACUGCCGGUACCUUGACGGUACCUGACCAGAAAGCCACGGCUAACUACGUGCCAGCAGCCGCGGUAAUACGUAGGUGGCAAGCGUUGUCCGGAAUUAUUGGGCGUAAAGCGCGCGCAGGCGGUUCCUUAAGUCUGAUGUGAAAGCCCCCGGCUCAACCGGGGAGGGUCAUUGGAAACUGGGGAACUUGAGUGCAGAAGAGGAGAGCGGAAUUCCACGUGUAGCGGUGAAAUGCGUAGAGAUGUGGAGGAACACCAGUGGCGAAGGCGGCUCUCUGGUCUGUAACUGACGCUGAGGCGCGAAAGCGUGGGGAGCGAACAGGAUUAGAUACCCUGGUAGUCCACGCCGUAAACGAUGAGUGCUAAGUGUUAGAGGGUUUCCGCCCUUUAGUGCUGCAGCAAACGCAUUAAGCACUCCGCCUGGGGAGUACGGCCGCAAGGCUGAAACUCAAAGGAAUUGACGGGGGCCCGCACAAGCGGUGGAGCAUGUGGUUUAAUUCGAAGCAACGCGAAGAACCUUACCAGGUCUUGACAUCCUCUGACAACCCUAGAGAUAGGGCGUUCCCCUUCGGGGGACAGAGUGACAGGUGGUGCAUGGUUGUCGUCAGCUCGUGUCGUGAGAUGUUGGGUUAAGUCCCGCAACGAGCGCAACCCUUGAUCUUAGUUGCCAGCAUUCAGUUGGGCACUCUAAGGUGACUGCCGGUGACAAACCGGAGGAAGGUGGGGAUGACGUCAAAUCAUCAUGCCCCUUAUGACCUGGGCUACACACGUGCUACAAUGGAUGGAACAAAGGGUCGCGAAGCCGCGAGGUGAAGCCAAUCCCAUAAAUCCAUUCUCAGUUCGGAUUGCAGGCUGCAACUCGCCUGC